CCGGAGCCGAGCCGAGCCGCGGGCGAAUCGGCUUCUUCUUCCUUCUCUCUCCCCGACCAAUCCGACCCAAACGCUCCUCGCCGUCAAAUCUCCCCUCUUUCUCGCCGCCGGCGAGCAGCAGAAGCAGCGGCACCAGCACCACCGGCUGUAGGCGCGAUCUUGUAGGCUCAUCGGAGAUGGGGAAGAAGCAGCAUAGCAAGGACCGGAUGUUCAUAACGCGGACGGAGUGGGCGACGGAGUGGGGCGGCGCCAAGCAGAAGGAGGCCGGCACGCCCUUCAAGCGCCUUCCCUUCUACUGCUGCGCGCUUACGUUUUUACCAUUUGAGGAUCCAGUGUGCACAGCAGAUGGAAGCGUCUUUGAUUUGAUGAGCAUAAUUCCAUACAUUAAGAAGUUCGGGAAGCACCCAGUAACAGGAACACCACUCAAGCAGGAAGAUCUAAUGCCUUUAACAUUCCACAAGAACUCAGAUGGAGAGUUCCAGUGCCCUGUUUUGAAUAAAGUUUUUACAGAAUUCACGCAUAUAGUUGCUGUAAAGACUACUGGGAACGUCUUCUGUUAUGAGGCAAUCCAAGAACUCAACAUCAAGCCAAAGAAUUGGAGAGAAUUGCUAACUGAUGAGCCCUUUACACGAAAUGACUUGAUAACAAUUCAGAAUCCAAAUGCGGUUGAUAGCAAGAUCCUAGGUGAAUUUGACCAUGUCAAGAAAGGCCUCAAACUUGAAGAUGAAGAGUUGCAACGAAUGAAAAAUGAUCCAACCUACAACAUAAAUAUUUCUGGUGAUCUUAAGCAAAUGAUUAAGGAACUUGGAACUGAAAAGGGAAAGUUAGCUUUUUUGCAUGGUGGGGGAGGGCAGAAAGCUCAAAAGGAAAGAGCUGCUGCACUUGCUGCUAUAUUGGCAAAAAAGGAGAAGGAUGACUCAAAAUCUGGCAAAGAACCUAAACCUCAUCAGCCUUUCAGUAUUGUAGAUGCUGCUUCUGCUUCUGUUCAUGGCAGAAGUGCAGCCGCAGCAAAGGCUGCUACUGCUGAGAAAACAGCUGCUAGAAUAGCAAUGCACAUGGCAGGAGAUCGAGCUCCUGUAAAUGCUAAACUGGUUAAAAGCCGUUACACCACAGGAGCAGCUUCACGUUCUUUCACAUCAACUGCCUAUGAUCCUGUCACCAAAAAUGAACUUGAGUAUGUUAAGGUUGAAAAGAAUCCAAAAAAGAAGGGAUAUGUUCAGUUGCAUACCACCCAUGGUGAUUUGAAUUUGGAGCUUCAUUGUGAUAUAACACCUCGGACAUGUGAAAAUUUCCUCACACAUUGUGAAAAUGGUUACUAUAAUGGUCUUAUCUUCCAUCGUAGUAUCAAAAAUUUCAUGAUUCAAGGAGGUGAUCCAACUGGCACAGGAAGUGGAGGGGAGUCCAUAUGGGGUAAACCUUUCAAGGAUGAACUGAAUUCAAAACUUAUACAUUCAGGAAGAGGUGUUGUCAGCAUGGCUAAUUCUGGGCCUCAUACCAAUGGGUCCCAAUUUUUCAUCUUGUACAAGUCCGCACCACAUUUAAAUUUCAAGCAUACGGUAUUUGGCAUGGUGGUCGGUGGCUUGACCACUCUUUCGGCUAUGGAAAAGGUUCCUGUUGAUGAUGACGAUCGACCAUUGGAGGAAAUAAAGAUAUUAAAAGUAAGUGUAUUUGUGAACCCUUACACGGAACCAGAUGAAGAAGAAGAAGAAAAGGCAAAGGAAGAGGAGAAGAAAAAGGAUGAGGAUUAUGAUAAGGUGGGAUCAUGGUAUAGCAAUCCAGGCACUGGCGUUGCUGGUUCAACUAGCUCUGGUGGUGGCGUUGGCAAGUACCUAAAAGCUCGGACAGCUGGCUUUGCUGAUGUGGUUGCAGAUGAUUCAAACAAGAAAAGAAAAGCGAGUGUGUCUAAUGUAGAAUUUAAGGAUUUCUCUGGGUGGUAGAUUCCUGAUGAACCUCCCCUUCUCUCAGAAGAAAUGGCUAGUGGAAACUUCGGUAGCAGCACUGUGGCAUUUCUUCAAUCUUCUGCUAUGGAUUUAAACUAAGAUGCUCAAGGUCCACAAUUAAGAUUCUCUGUAAGCAGAUCCGAGUUGAGUAACAUGAUCCACUCUGGGUGGGUGUUUUGCGGCAAAAGAGUUGCACACUGAGCUAUAAGAGGGAUGCUUGGGACUUAGGAAAUUUGACUGGUUCAAUAACUGGAAAUUCAUGCUUCCAUCAGUCUGUGUCUGAAUUAUUACAAAUAAAACUUGAGAGGGCCGAGCCGCCGAGGGGAUCUUAACUUUCCCUCGUUGAUUCGAAAAGCCUUUUACUGCCACAAUCCGGGACUGCUGAUAUUGUUAUGGCAAGAGUUAUGCUCAAUCUGGAACUGUUGAUAUUGUUGGUUCAUUGCAUGUUUAUACCGAUAAAUUUGUAUGCCAAUAAUCACUGAAAUCAACUUGAUAAAUUUGUUGCCAGUAAUCACUGAAAUCAACUUGAAUCAA